rnacentral:rRNA from 1 species
AUUGAACGCUGGCGGCAGGCCUAACACAUGCAAGUCGAGCGGAGCGGCGGACGGGUGAGUAAUUUCUGGGAACCUGCCUGAUGGAGGGGGUUACCUACUGGAAACGGUAGCUAAUACCGCUUACCAUCCGUUGUGCCCUGUGGGGAUUAGCUAGUUGGUGGGGUAAAGGCCUACCAAGGCGACGAUCCGUAACUGGUCUGAGAGGAUGAUCAGCCACACUGGAACUGAGACACGGUCCAGACUCCUACGGGAGGCAGCAGUGGGGAAUAUUGGACAAUGGGCGAAAGCCUGAUCCAGCCAUGCCGCGUGUGUGAAGAAGGUCUUCGGAUUGUAAAGCACUUUAAGUUGGGAGGCGUUACCAACAGAAUAAGCACCGGCUAACUUCGUGCCAGCCGCCGCGGUAAUAC